rnacentral:rRNA from 1 species
GGUGAAAAGCACCCCGGAAGGGGAGUGAAAUAGAACCUGAAACCGUGUGCUUACAAGUAGUCAGAGCCCGUUAAUGGGUGAUGGCGUGCCUUUUGUAGAAUGAACCGGCGAGUUACGAUUUGAUGCAAGGUUAAGCAGUAAAUGUGGAGCCGUAGCGAAAGCGAGUCUGAAUAGGGCGUUUAGUAUUUGGUCGUAGACCCGAAACCAGGUGAUCUACCCUUGGUCAGGUUGAAGUUCAGGUAACACUGAAUGGAGGACCGAACCGACUUACGUUGAAAAGUGAGCGGAUGAACUGAGGGUAGCGGAGAAAUUCCAAUCGAACCUGGAGAUAGCUGGUUCUCUCCGAAAUAGCUUUAGGGCUAGCCUCAAGUGAUGAUUAUUGGAGGUAGAGCACUGUUUGGACGAGGGGCCCCUCUCGGGUUACCGAAUUCAGACAAACUCCGAAUGCCAAUUAAUUUAACUUGGGAGUCAGAACAUGGGUGAUAAGGUCCGUGUUCGAAAGGGAAACAGCCCAGACCACCAGCUAAGGUCCCAAAAUAUAUGUUAAGUGGAAAAGGAUGUGGCGUUGCCCAGACAACUAGGAUGUUGGCUUAGAAGCAGCCAUCAUUUAAAGAGUGCGUAAUAGCUCACUAGUCGAGUGACACUGCGCCGAAAAUGUACCGGGGCUAAACAUAUUACCGAAGCUGUGGAUUGUCCUUUGGACAAUGGUAGGAGAGCGUUCUAAGGGCGUUGAAGCAUGAUCGUAAGGACAUGUGGAGCGCUUAGAAGUGAGAAUGCCGGUGUGAGUAGCGAAAGACGGGUGAGAAUCCCGUCCACCGAUUGACUAAGGUUUCCAGAGGAAGGCUCGUCCGCUCUGGGUUAGUCGGGUCCUAAGCUGAGGCCGACAGGCGUAGGCGAUGGAUAACAGGUUGAUAUUCCUGUACCACCUAU